UGUAAGCCUGCGAAGGUGUGCUGUGAGGCAUGCUGGAGGUAUCAGAAGUGCGAAUGCUGACAUAAGUAACGAUAAAGCGGGUGAAAAGCCCGCUCGCCGGAAGACCAAGGGUUCCUGUCCAACGUUAAUCGGGGCAGGGUGAGUCGACCCCUAAGGCGAGGCCGAAAGGCGUAGUCGAUGGGAAACAGGUUAAUAUUCCUGUACUUGGUGUUACUGCGAAGGGGGGACGGAGAAGGCUAUGUUGGCCGGGCGACGGUUGUCCCGGUUUAAGCGUGUAGGCUGGUUUUCCAGGCAAAUCCGGAAAAUCAAGGCUGAGGCGUGAUGACGAGGCACUACGGUGCUGAAGCAACAAAUGCCCUGCUUCCAGGAAAAGCCUCUAAGCAUCAGGUAACAUCAAAUCGUACCCCAAACCGACACAGGUGGUCAGGUAGAGAAUACCAAGGCGCUUGAGAGAACUCGGGUGAAGGAACUAGGCAAAAUGGUGCCGUAACUUCGGGAGAAGGCACGCUGAUAUGUAGGUGAAGCGACUUGCUCGUGGAGCUGAAAUCAGUCGAAGAUACCAGCUGGCUGCAACUGUUUAUUAAAAACACAGCACUGUGCAAACACGAAAGUGGACGUAUACGGUGUGACGCCUGCCCGGUGC
rnacentral:rRNA from 1 species